CGGAGAGGGAGCAUGAGAAACGGCUACCACUUCUAAGUAAGGCAGCAGGCGCGCAAAUUACCCAAUCCCGAUUCGGGGAGGUAGUGACAAGGAAUAAUGACUCGGGGUCUCACGACUUACGAGAUCAAAAUGAGAACAAUGUAAAAAACUUAUCGAGGAACAAUUGGAGGGCAAGUUCUGGUGACAGCAGCCGCGGUAAUUCCAGCUCCAAUAGCGUAUAUUAAAGUUGUUGCAGUUAAAAAGCUCGUAGUCGAUAUUCUAAGCACCCUUUAUGUAUGCUGGGGCUAUAUGAAGGGUGCUUAUCCGCUCGAGAACAAUACGCGGCCUUAAGUGGUCGGUAUUGCACAUCGGGCAUCUUACUGAGAAAAAAUUAGAGUGUUCAAAGCAGGCAAACGCCUUGAAUACACAAGCUUGGAAUAAUGGAAUAGGACUAAAAUCUUUUUUGUUGGUUAUAAGAUUUUAGUAAUGGUUAAUAGAAACAGUUGGGGGCAUUAGUAUUUAAUUGUCAGAGGUGAAAUUCUUGGAUUUAUUAAAGACUAACAUAUGCGAAAGCAUUUGCCAAGGAUGUCUUCAAUUGAUCAAGAACGAAAGUUAGGGGAUCAAAGACGAUUAGAUACCGUCAUAGUCCUAACUAUAAACGAUUCCGACUAUGGAUCGGAAGAGUCUCUUUAGCUCUUUCGGCACAUUAUGAGAAAUCAUAAGUCUUUGGGUUCCGGGGGGAAGUAUGGACGCAAGUCUGAAACUUAAAGGAAUUGACGGAAGGGCACACCAGGAGAGGAACUUGCGGCUUAAUUUGACUCAACACGGGGAAACUUACCAGGUCAAGACAUAGGUAGGAUUGACAGAAAUGAGAGCUCUUUCUUGAUUCUAUGGGUGGUGGUGCAUGGCCGUUCUUAGUUGGUGGAGUGAUUUGUCUGGUUAAUUCCGUUAACGAACGAGACCUUAACCUGCUAAAUAAGAGCCAGAUGUACAAUCUGGUGUCCUUCUUAGAGGGACUAUGCGUGCAAACGCAUGGAAGUUUGAGGCAAUAACAGGUCUGUGAUGCCCCUAGACGUCCUGGGCCGCACGCGUGUUACAAUGACACGGUCAGCAAGUAUUUCCUGCCUCGAUAGAGGUUCGGGUAAUCUUAUUAGUCCGUAUCGUAGUGGGAAUUGCCCUUUGUAAUUAUAGGACAUGAACUAGGAUUUCCUAGUAUAGGUGUGCCAUCAGCGCACCUAGAUUAAGUCCCUGCCCUUUGUACACACCGCCCGUCGCUCCUACCGAUUGAGUGAUUCGGUGAAUACUUCGGAGUGCAGACUCUACAGUUUCUGUUUUGUUUGCGCAAAGUUGAAUAAACCUUAUCACUUAGAGGAAGGAGAAAUCGUAACAAGGUAACC
rnacentral:rRNA from 1 species